ACCGUGGAGUCAUCGAAUCUUUGAACGCACAUUGCGCCCGCUGGUAUUCCGGCGGGCAUGCCUGUUCGAGCGUCAUUUCAACCCUCAAGCCCCCGGGUUUGGUGUUGGGGAUCGGCUCUGCCUUCUGGCGGUGCCGCCCCCGAAAUACAUUGGCGGUCUCGCUGCAGCCUCCAUUGCGUAGUAGCUAACACCUCGCAACUGGAACGCGGCGCGGCCAUGCCGUAAAACCCCAACUUCUGAAUGUUGACCUCGGAUCAGGUAGGAAUACCCGCUGAACUUAAGCAUAUCAAUAAGCGGAGG
rnacentral:misc_RNA from 1 species